rnacentral:rRNA from 1 species
UACGUAGGGUGCAAGCGUUGUCCGGAAUUAUUGGGCGUAAAGAGCUCGUAGGCGGUCUGUCGCGUCGGAUGUGAAAAUCAGGGCUCAACCCUGGACCUGCAUUCGAUACGGGCAGACUAGAGUUCGGUAGGGGAGACUGGAAUUCCUGGUGUAGCGGUGAAAUGCGCAGAUAUCAGGAGGAACACCGGUGGCGAAGGCGGGUCUCGUGGGCCGAUGACUGACGCUGAGGAGCGAAAGCGUGGGGAGCGAACAGG